rnacentral:rRNA from 1 species
UGCAGAGGUCUCAAGCGUUGUUCGGAUUCAUUGGGCGUAAAGGGUGCGUAGGCGGCGCGGUAAGUCGGGUGUGAAAUCUCGGAGCUUAACUCCGAAACUGCAUUCGAUACUGCCGUGCUUGAGGACUGGAGAGGAGACUGGAAUUUACGGUGUAGCGGUGAAAUGCGUAGAUAUCGUAAGGAAGACCAGUGGCGAAGGCGGGUCUCUGGACAGUUCCUGACGCUGAGGCACGAAGGUCAGGGGAGCAAACGGG